AUACGGAUGGUGCAAGCGUUAUUCGGAAUCACUGGGCGUAAAGGACACGUAGGCGGGAAGCCAAGUCUGAUGUGAAAUCCUACAGCUUAACUGUAGAACUGCAUUGGAAACUGGUUUCCUAGAGUAUGGGAGGGGGAGAUGGAAUUAGUGGUGUAGGGGUAAAAUCCGUAGAUAUCACUAGGAAUACCUAAAGCGAAGGCGAUCUCCUGGAACAUUACUGACGCUAAGGUGUGAAAGCGUGGGGAGCAAACGGGAUUAGAAACCCUAGUAGUCC
rnacentral:rRNA from 1 species